GACGGAAGGUGCAAGCGUUGCUCGGAAUCAUUGGGCGUAAAGGGUGCGUAGGCGGCUUGGUAAGUCUGGUGUGAAAGCCCUGGGCUCAGCCCGGGAAGGACGCUAGAGACUGCCGAGCUGGAGUGCCGGAGGGGAGAGUGGAAUUCCUGGUGUAGCGGUGAAAUGCGUAGAGAUCAGGAGGAAUACCGGUGGCGAAAAGCGACUCUCUGGACGGCAACUGACGCUGAGGCACGAAAGCGUGGGGAGCAAACAGG
rnacentral:rRNA from 1 species